rnacentral:rRNA from 1 species
AGUGAACGCUGGCGGUAGGCCUAACACAUGCAAGUCGAACGGCAGCACAGUAAGAGCUUGCUCUUACGGGUGGCGAGUGGCGGACGGGUGAGGAAUACAUCGGAAUCUACUUUUUCGUGGGGGAUAACGUAGGGAAACUUACGCUAAUACCGCAUACGACCUACGGGUGAAAGCAGGGGAUCUUCGGACCUUGCGCGAUUGAAUGAGCCGAUGUCGGAUUAGCUAGUUGGCGGGGUAAAGGCCCACCAAGGCGACGAUCCGUAGCUGGUCUGAGAGGAUGAUCAGCAACACUGGAACUGAGACACGGUCCAGACUCCUACGGGAGGCAGCAGUGGGGAAUAUUGGACAAUGGGCGAAAGCCUGAUCCAGCCAUACCGCGUGGGUGAAGAAGGCCUUCGGGUUGUAAAGCCCUUUUGUUGGGAAAGAAAAGCAGCAGGUUAAUACCCCGCCGUUCUGACGGUACCCAAAGAAUAAGCACCGGCUAACUUCGUG